rnacentral:sRNA from 1 species
AUAAGUUGUUCUACGUCUCAAUGGCAACUUUUGUGCAAGGCUCUUUAACAGAGCCAUUUUUCCUAGGCCGAGUAGAGGAGUAAACUCGGCCUUUUUUU